rnacentral:rRNA from 1 species
CGGGGAGCAGCCCAGAGCCUGAAUCAGUGUGUGUGUUAGUGGAAGCGUCUGGAAAGGCGCGCGAUACAGGGUGACAGCCCCGUACACAAAAAUGCACAUGCUGUGAGCUCGAUGAAUAGGGCGGGACACGUGGUAUCCUGUCUGAAUAUGGGGGGACCAUCCUCCAAGGCUAAAUACUCCUGACUGACCGAUAGUGAACCAGUACCGUGAGGGAAAGGCGAAAAGAACCCC